GGAUAACUUAAUGAUAUCAUUUGCACUCACAAGCUAACUGCAGGCACAAAAUAAAGCAAGAGUGACUGGAAAAAGAGAGAGAAAGAGUCUAGAAAACACAGAGCCACACAUCGCUUCUUCCCCUGUGGUGGCCAUUUGCAGAACCUGUAUCUUCACAAGGCCACAGAGCAGGAACACAGAAGAUGCUGUGCUUCCAGCAGGUGCCCCAUCAUUGACCAAGAUCUGUGGAUGCCACCGACAGAAACACAGAGACGUUAAAUUAAUAAAAUGGUGCUGGUGAGAACAGCACUGGUUAUAGCCAUCCUGGAGAGGCAGAGG
ensembl:lncRNA